AUUAGGGUUCGAUUCCGGAGAGGGAGCCUGAGAAACGGCUACCACAUCUAAGGAAGGCAGCAGGCGCGCAAAUUACCCAAUCCUAAUACAGGGAGGUAGUGACAAGAAAUAACAAUACAGGACCUUUCGGUUUUGUAAUUGGAAUGAGUUAAGUAUAAACCCCUUUACAAGUAUCAAUUGGAGGGCAAGUCUGGUGCCAGCAGCCGCGGUAAUUCCAGCUCCAAUAGCGUAUAUUAAAGUUGUUGCAGUUAAAAAGCUCGUAGUUGGAUUUCUGUUAAUUACUUUAUAUAAUUUUACACUUUCGUGUAGUUAUAUAGUAUUAACAUAAUUCAUAUUACUAUUUUAGUAUAUGAAAUUUUACUUUGAGAAAAUUAGAGUGCUUAAAGCAGGCUUUUGCCUUGAAUACUUCAGCAUGGAAUAAUAAUUAAAGAUUUUUAUCUUUCUUAUUGGUUCUAAGAUAAAAAUAAUGAUUAAUA
rnacentral:rRNA from 1 species